CUCAUCUUGCCAGUGAGUGCAGCCAUGUGUCUUUGUGUGUGACUGGAUGGGAUGUUACUGAAAGGCUCAUGUUUCGACAUUUGCCUUGAUCACUCAUGCAGCCUGUAGCCCAUGGGGAACCAGGACUGGCCACAGGCUGGAGAAAUAAGGAAGUGGCUUAUAUCUUGGACCACUGCACAACUGGUCUCCUAUUUCUCCCGGACUACAUUUAGGUAAAAGCAAUUAGCUCACAGUUAAAAUCCAACCUUGAAUGUAGAAUAGGUUGGGUAAUAUACUGACCUAAUGGAAGAAAGCUGCUUUUUCAUUGUGAUUUAUUGGGAAGUAAGAUUAGGAUAAAUUUUACACUCUUGGUUUAAAAUGAAAUUAUUUGCUUGAAAGGGAACAAAAUGCCUCUCCAUCUAUUAAAAGACAGUCAGUUUAAAAUAUUUCUAG
rnacentral:lncRNA from 1 species